AUGCGGCAGCUUCGGCUCAUCACCAACAUGAGGCCUCAUAAUGACACGUGGUUUGCAAAUUACUUGCUAAGGGUCGGCAAUGGCACUGAGGAAGUCGACGAUCAAGGCAACAUACUACUCCCUGAAGACAUUUGUCUGCCGUCUACAGGCGAGGUUGACGACCUGGAGAAGCUUAUUCACCACGUGUUUCCGAGUAUAGAUGACAACAUGUCUGAUUCAAAUUACAUGACAUCUCGAGCAAUCCUUUCCACGACAAACGACAAUGUCGACAAGAUAAACAUCCGCAUGAUAGAGCGUUUUCAGGAAGAUGAAGUAAUAUACCAUAGCUUUGACAGUGCGGAGGACGACCCAUAUGGCUACUACGCUCAGGAGUUUCUGAAUGGAUUGACUCCUAACGGUCUUCCUCCGCAUGCACUCAAGCUAAAGCUGAACUGCCCUGUCAUACUUCUAAGGAACAUUGAUCCAGCAAAUGGAUUGUGUAACGGCACUAGGCUUGUUGUUAGAGGUUUUGAGAGGAACACCAUUGAUGCAUAA
rnacentral:rRNA from 1 species